CCUAGGCAAAAAAAUACAUGAUGAAGGUUUGCCAAGUACCCAGAAGUGGGUCAUUUUUUGUCACUUACAUUCCACAGGCUUGUAAUUAAUAAAUGUAAAAUUGCAGGCACAAGAACAGAAGCCUAAUUAAGACUAAUCUAAAAUAUCACCCGCUAUGUCUUUAUGUGAGUUAGAGUUAAGAAUACUGCAUGCCUGCUAUUUUGUUCCAUAUAUUUAUCUCCUUCCCCUACCCUCUGUGCUUUAUUUUCACAUACACCUUUCUGCCAGACAAGCCUAACAAUUGCCAUGGCUUUACUUUCUGACCACUGAAAUGCAGUCACUGAACUCUCUAUUACAGCAGGUCUAUUACAAAGUGCUUAGUUUUUUUUAAAUGCUCCAAAGUAAACAUAAUUGGGGCUUUUCCUGCCAGAAGCAGUGGACAAAUUUCUGUGUUUAUCUGAGACCAUCCAACUAUAAAAGAAAAUCAAAUUAAAUGAUGCUAGAAGCUGAGAAAAAUUAAUCUAAAAGCUACAGUCCUCAGAAAACUUGGAAUCCAAGAGCCUAACCUGGAAUAUGCCCUUGUAACAAUUAAAAUGUAAAAGAGUUAAGCCUGUAAUCAAAAUUUAAAAAUCAAGUUAAGGAAGUCUGAAGCUGAUCUAAAAUAGAGGCAGAAUGCUUUAGAGCAGUGUGCUUGGACCUAAUCCACAGCCCAAUAAGUCAAGCCUCACACUGAUUGCGAUGGGCUUUGGCUCAGGUCCUUAGCCCAUUAGGAGUAAGAGUGUGACAGUAAUGCUCUUUAUUGUCGUCAGUGUAACAUGGACUUAGCAUAUUUACCUGGUGGCACUGCCACUCCUGGGGUGUACAUACAUCCCUGCCUCAUCUUUUGAAGAGGUAUAUUCACUUUUCAAACAUGGAACUUCCCAUUCUGAGACACGUUAACAUACACAUACAGCCAGGCUCCUAGGAUCCCAAUGGAUUUUUCGUGUCUCCAAACACAUCUCCUCAGACAGACACAGACAAAUUUAUGAUACAAAGCUGACCACCAUCUGAAUCUUUCAGAAUCAAAUAUCUUGACAGGUACCCAUACCCACUGCACUCAUAAACCCUAACCUACCUUCAGCAGCUUGAAGUGUGAAGCCGGGACAAUGAAGUGUCUGUUCUGUUUCUUUGUGCAAAUACUGCAACUGCACAAGGGGAAAGAAAAAGAAAAAAACCAUGACUAUUCUAUAGGCAGUUAUAACCUGCACUGUAACAAUCGUAUCUAGCCUAAAGCUCUCAACAAGUUAGAUUUCACUGAAAACUAUAAUUAUUUUUACCUGGUUGUCAUCAGGGUGGAUAUUAGAGAGACAAGAGAUUCAACAGAAGCUGGUCCAAUAAAAGAUAUGACCUCACCCACGUCGUCUCUCUAAUAUCCUGGGACCAACACAGCUACAACAACAUUGCAAACAUCAGGUUUGAUGACAGGAGGGGACAGACUGCAACUAUGGCAUAUGUAUUUGUGUAUGCAUGCAUUCAGUCUAGAGACUUACGUUUCCCUGUAAUAUGGAAAGUAAGCUUAUCAAAACUGAGAGCUAUAUAACUGUCUUCUCUCCACAAUACAACUCUCAGUGGAUAGAUCAAUGCUGAACUGUGGCCUUGAGAAAUCCAUGUAAAGUUUGCCAACUUAAUCCAAAUGCUACCAAUAUUAAUUACUUUGCAAACCAGGGAAACAGAUUUGUAGUGACAUCUGAGCUAGAAAGAAACUAAUUCUGAGUCUGUGGAAAGACCAUGCUGAAAUUAGACUAUUUUAUAGGGCUUCAAUAUAUAUCCCUCACCACAUGUUGGUAGUAAUGUGUUCUCCGUUUGAUAAGAGAAUGCCAGGAAAGGAUCAAACCCCAUGACCUUGUGAGAUCUGUUGGAAAGCAUUUUGUUUUGAUGAUGUAUAAAAUGCAGGUCCUGAGCAUUUCUGGUUGUUAAAACCUUGACAAUUUUUUUACAAGCACAGACCCACAUGGAGCUGGUAUUCUGCACUCCUUGUUGUGCAGAAUCCUGUUAAACAUCUGCCAUGUUUUACUCCAGAUAUGGCUACAUUUUAGUAGUGGGGGAAGUGGUUCCUGUAUGUAUAGGAGUUUGUAAAAUUCUGUAUAUAUGUAAGAUAUUGUUGUUAAUAAUAAUACUAAAUAUAACACUUUGCAUGUGUUUAGAACCUUCCAUUCAUGGAUCUCAUUACAUUUAUUUAGCUUCACAGCAUCCCUGCAAGAUAUCCAAGUAUUACUGUCUUCAUUGUGUGGCUGAGGAAACUAAGGCAUAGCUAUGGUAACUUUUCAGGAUCACAGGGGAAGUCUGUGUAAUUAUUAACUGUAGUAGUUGUAGACUGUGUAAUAAUAAUCAUCACAUCUUACAAAUUGUAAUGAGCAAGUCACUUUGAUCUGCAUUUCCACUUCAUAAAGGACAUUUAAUAUUUUCCGCA